rnacentral:sRNA from 1 species
CUUUAAAACCAACAACCCCAACCUCUCCUACCGCAGCACCAACGUUGCUAAUCCUCAGGAUUAAGUGUAUCCUCCACAACAACAACAAGGUCAGAACAAACCUUUUUUUUCCCUACAACCAAGGUUUCGUUCCUAAGCAACAAUUUCAGGGGAAAUACCAGCCGCCACCACCACCUGGGUUUGCACAUCAGCAAAACCAAGGUCAUGCUGCUCCUGAGGCUGAUAUGAAACAAAUGCUACAACAGCUGCUUCACGGGCAAGCCUCUGGCUCCAUGGAGAUGCCAAAGAAGAUAUCUGAGUUACAUAACAAGCUGGAUUGUAGCUACAAUGAUCUCAAUGUCAAGAUGGAAACACUGAAUACCAAAGUCCGAUACUUAGAAGGAGAUUCUGCAUCUUCUUCAGCUCCAAAGCAGACAAGCCAACUACCAGGCAAAGCAGUUCAGAAUCCAAAAGAAUAUGCUCAUGCUAUCACACUGCAUAGUGGAAAAGCACUUCCAACUAGGGAGGACCCAAAGACGGUCACUGAGGACAGUGAAGAUCAAGAUGGGGAGGAUUUAAGUAUCGAGAAAGAUCAAGCUGACAAACCACUCGAUCAACCACUCGACCCGUCACUCGAGCAACCACUUGACCUGUCACUCUAGCAACCACUCGAUCUGCCACUCGACAACGUUACUCGACCAACAACUCGACCUAUCUUCCCAGCAGCAUCACCAACUGCUCCAAAACCAGUUGCUGUCAAAAACAAAGAAAAGGUCUUUGUCCCUCCUCCCCACAAACCACAUCUUUCAUUUCCUGGCCGUCACAAAAAAGCGUUGGCAGAUAAAUAUAGAGCUAUGUUUGCCAAGAAUAUUAAAGAGGUUGAGUUGCGGAUACCUCUUGUUGAUGCUCUAGCGCAAAUCCCAGACUCUCACAAGUUUCUGAAAGACUUGAUCGUGGAGAGAAUUCAAGAAGUGCAAGGGAUGGUGGUAUUGAGUCAUGAAUGCAGUGCUAUCAUACAGAAGAAGAUCAAUCCUAAGAAGCUUAGUGAUCCUGGUUCAUUCACUCUACCAUGCUCUUUAGGUCCAUUGGCUUUCAAUAGAUGCCUAUGCGAUUUAGGAGCAUCAGUCAGUCUCAUGCCGCUCUCUGUCGCCAAAAGAUUGGGGUUCACUCAAUACAAGUCCUGCAAUAUAUCCCUCAUCCUAGCUGACAGAUCAGUAAGGAUCCCUCAUGGUGUGCUCGAAAACCUCCCAAUCAGGAUCGGUGCUGUGGAGAUACCAACUUACUUUGUAGGCCCAGAGAUGGAUGAAGAGACCAAGGACCCUUUGAUUCAAGGGAGACCUUUCUUAGCCACUGCAGGAGCUAUGAUUGGUGUCAAGAAAGGGAAGAUUGAUCUAAACCUUGGCAAAGACUUUAGGAUGACCUUUGAUGUCAAAGACGCGAUGAAGAAGCCUACCAUAGAAAGGCAACUCUUUUGGAUCGAAGAAAUGGAUCAGUUAGCCGAUGAAUUACUGGAAGAGCUGGCAGAAGAAGAUCAUCUUAACAGUUCUUUAACCAAAAGUGGUGAAGAUGGGUUUCUGCAUUUGGAAACAUUGGG